AACGCUGGCGGCGUGCCUAAUACAUGCAAGUCGAGCGGACCAAAAUGAAAGUUUACUUUCAUUUUGGUUAGCGGCGGACGGGUGAGUAACACGUGGGUAACCUGCCUGUAAGACUGGGAUAACUCCGGGAAACCGGGGCUAAUACCGGAUAACUUCUUUCCUCGCAUGAGGAAAGAUUAAAAGAUGGCUUUUGCUAUCACUUACAGAUGGACCCGCGGCGCAUUAGCUAGUUGGUGAGGUAACGGCUCACCAAGGCGACGAUGCGUAGCCGACCUGAGAGGGUGAUCGGCCACACUGGGACUGAGACACGGCCCAGACUCCUACGGGAGGCAGCAGUAGGGAAUCUUCCGCAAUGGACGAAAGUCUGACGGAGCAACGCCGCGUGAGUGAUGAAGGUCUUCGGAUCGUAAAACUCUGUUGUUAGAGAAGAACAAGUACCGUUCGAAUAGGGCGGUACCUUGACGGUACCUAACCAGAAAGCCACGGCUAACUACGUGCCAGCAGCCGCGGUAAUACGUAGGUGGCAAGCGUUGUCCGGAAUUAUUGGGCGUAAAGCGCGCGCAGGCGGUUUCUUAAGUCUGAUGUGAAAGCCCACGGCUCAACCGUGGAGGGUCAUUGGAAACUGGGAGACUUGAGUGCA
rnacentral:rRNA from 1 species